AACGAACGCUGGCGGCAGGCUUAACACAUGCAAGUCGAACGGUUGUAGCAAUACAGCAGUGGCGGACGGGUGAGUAACGCGUGGAUAUCUGCCCUUUGGCUCGGAAUAACUCCGGGAAACUGGAGCUAAUAACGGUGGGUUCCUACGGGAUAAAGAUUUAUCCCCAAAAGAUGAGUCCGCGUAUGAUUAGCUAGUUGGCGGGGUAAUGGCCGACCAAGGCGACGAUUGUUAGCUGGGCUGAGAGGACGAUCAGCCACGCUGGGACUAAGGCACGGCCCAGACUCAUACGGGAGGCAAGAGUGGGGAAUAUUGGGCAAUGGGAGCAACCCUGAUCCAGCCAUGCCGCGUGAGUGAUGAAGGCCUUCGGGUUGUAAAGCUCUUUUGGCGGGGACGAUGAUGACGGUACCCGCAGAAUAAGCCCCGGCUAACUUCGUGCCAGCCGCCGCGGUAAUAC
rnacentral:rRNA from 1 species